rnacentral:lncRNA from 10 species
AGGAUACUAAAUGGGUCUAUGUGACUUUAGGGACCCUCUGCUUUUGGACUAGCCUGGAACCCAGGUUCAGUCCUGCUGACCUGGCACUGGAAGGGAGGCAGGGUGCUGGCACCCACGAGCAAGCCACAGCCAAGCAGACUGAUCUCGGCUGGGAUUACAGGUGUGAGCCACUGCGUCUGGCCCCAAGUAACUUUUUAACACAGUUCUUCAACUGCAUACCUUCAAUCUAAGAAUGGUGAUAUCUAAGCCUCACCCUAGCUACCAGGGUCAGGCCCCUUGGGGAAGGAGGACUUCAAACUCAGCAAUUCUGGAGUUACUUCUCAAGCAGCAGAUGACCUGGGGAAAAGCUGACCCCGGAGUAGGAUGACCCCGGAGCAGGCUUGGAGAUUGUGACACACAGACACUACUGUGAACGCCCCUGUGCUGGCAGCCUGGACAUGGGGAUGAACCUGGCCUGGUGCUGCUUCGAGGUGCUCCCAGCCUGUGGGGGACAUGGAAAGGUCGGCGACCAUCCGAGCGCUGGGCAUCGGCCCACGCGUACAGAAGGCGCUCAAUAAAUGCUCACUAGUGAAUCAGUAAAAUAAAUCGGCAGCAAAGAGAGACGAGACGCAUGCUGAUCUUCAGGUGUUGGGGACAUCAGGGACGCGAACAUUUAUUGAGCUCU